AAGCCAGGUCAGUUUCUAUCCACGAAAGUUGCGCUUUUNUUAGUNCGAAAGGACCAGAAAAGCAGUACCAAUUUUUAAAAAAAAGUACUAAAAAAAAGUUUUGAAAAAAAAAUGAAAAUUUUCACUAAAAAAUUUUACUUUU
rnacentral:rRNA from 1 species